rnacentral:lncRNA from 1 species
GAGCCUCUCCUGGGCUUUCUUCAGGGACGCUGACUGUCAUAUUGUAGCAAGCUUAACCUCUCACCAUGACCCCUUCAGUCCUGAAACUUCUGACUGGGCUGCACUUCCUCCGAUGGCGAUGGUGGCUCCUGGUUUCUCCUGGCCCCAAGGCUCAGCUGCUCCCCAUGACCUCUUCAUGCCUCCAAACCCAGGACUGCCUGGGAGGCUGUGACACAUGAUCAAGUUUGGCUGCUAGCAUGGGGUAUAUAUAGCCCUGGCCCUCUCUGGACCAUAGCUUCUGUGUGCUGAUCCUGAGGAAAUAGUUCCCAGAAAAAUCUUGCCUCGAUGCUACCUCUUGCUAAUCACAGAUCACAGCUCUAGCUGAACAGAAUCCAUUGUCCCCGAAAAAAACAAAGGUUUUGCCUUGACGGUUCUUAGUUCCAAAUAUCGUGUAAGCGGCCCUGAAACAAUCUUUGCUUCCCUCUGAAACAUCACAAGGUAGGCCUCCUCUGUCUGCACUGCUGUCAGUCUCAUCUUCUAAGUUCCCACAACAUCUCUUUAGUUAAGUUUCUGUUGACGUGUUAAAACACCAUGACCAAAAGCAACUUGGGAAGGAACAGGUUUCUCUCAUCUUAGAACUCCUGGGUCACACCCUUAUCACUGAGGGAAAUCAGGUCAGGAACUCAAGGCAGGAACCUGGAGACAGGAACGGAAGCAAAGCCCAUUGAGGGAUGUUUCUUACUGGAUUGCUCUUCAUGGCUUACUCAAGCUUUUUCUUAUGUAACUCAUGACCACCCGUUCAAGGUUGGCACAACCCACAGUAGUCUGGGCCCUACCACAUAAAUCAUUAGUUU